rnacentral:rRNA from 1 species
AACGUAGGAGGCAAGCGUUAUCCGGAUUUACUGGGCGUAAAGCGCGUGCAGGCGGUUCGGUAAGUUGGAUGUGAAAUCUCCCGGCUCAACUGGGAGAGGUCGUUCAAUACUGUCGAACUUGAGAGCGAUAGAGGAAUGCGGAAUUCCCGGUGUAGCGGUAAAAUGCGUAAAUAUCGGGAGGAACACCAGUGGCGAAAGCGGCAUUCUGGAUCGUUUCUGACGCUCAGACGCGAAAGCUAGGGGAGCAAACGGG